AGUUUUAUAGUCAAUAAAUGAUUUUAAAUUGCAAAUUUAAAGUAAGAUGCUAUGUCUUAAAGCUU
rnacentral:tRNA from 1 species